UGUGAGUGUAGAAGUUACUCCAAAACUGAACUUCCUCUCUCGCCUCCUGAACAUGCAACCGAACCUCCCAGCUCCUCCUUAGCCAUUUCUCUGCAGGGCAUCAGAAUGAGCCUGUAUGCCUCUCCUGUUCUCCACCUGACCUUGCUUCCCUAUGAUCUGUCUUCGUGAAGAUGAAGCCUCUGAUAUCCCAGAGAAGCAAGCACUGAACCCGAAUCCUGAACAACGAGAGACUCAUUUUAGCAGGUGAAGAUUGUUCCUUCCUUUUCCAUGUAAACAUCAAGUGAUGCUUGGAGUACAGACACUUCCCUGAGAAGAUGGAGCUGAGCUCCUGGACAUCAUGCAGUGAAGUGGAACCCUUAACAAGUAUAGGCCAAGAGACUGUGAAUGGAGUGACAUGAGGCACUGAAGGAUUACUGCACAUCUUUCCAGCCAUUUCAUCACCACAAUGGUGUCUGUGUACAUCUCAUGUUUCAGGUGAAACAAUAUGUGAGGAAUCUUCUCAGCUUGAUUUCUUCAGUGAUCACAUGAAAUAUCCUCAAGUCCCAGGCAACUUUGGACAGAUAACAUGAAUGAGCAAUAUAUCUGUGUUGUGCUAAGCCAUUGAAGCCAUCUCAGGCUGCCGUAAUAAAAUACCAUUGACUGGGUUUCUUAGCAAUACACAAUGUGUCAUAGUGUCUGGUAAGAGUUCUCUUUUUGUUAGUGUUUUUAUUUGCUUGUUUGUUCCAGACAGCCUAGAUCUCUCCAUGUAGCUCAUUGUGGCUUCAGCUCCUGCCUCAACCUCUUGAUUGCUGGAGGGGAUGUCCUCUUGAUAAAUUAGACAGUUGUCUUUUCACUACAUGUUCACAUGGUCCAAUCUGAUAUGCUUCUGGAGAUUAACUAAGGGCUUCCUCUAUAAUGAUAGGCAUAUACUCUACCACUGAGCAACAUUCUAAGCCCCCCUUGUCAUCACAUUGUGUCUUUACUGUUCCAUCUUUGAGAAUAUUGUCUUAGUUCUUUUUCUAUUGCUAUGAAGAGACACCAUGACCAGGGCAACUUAUAUAAGAAGAGUUUGUUGCUUUACAGUAUCAGAGAGUGAGUCCAUGCCCAUCGUGGCAUGGGAAAUGGCAGCAGGCAAGCAGGCACAGUGCUGGAGCUGAGAGCUUACAUGUUGAGAUAACAACCAUGAGGCACAGAGAGCCAAGAAUGGCAUGGGCUUUUGAGCUCACUCCAACAAAGCCACACCUCUCAAUCCUUCCCAAACAGUUCCACCAG